GUGACAGUGAGUAAGCCCCAUGCAGUUUGCUGUGCACCAGUGUGAGGGUGACCUUGACAGGUGACUGCUGAGAGGAGGGACUGGCAAUGGCUUCAAGUUCAUGUGCACCAUUAGUGCCUGAGAAGCCAGAAGAGGAAGUUACAGAUCCUCUAGAACUCGGAAUAAGAUGGCAUUUGGGUGUUGAGAAUUGAACCCGGAUCCUCUGAAAGAGCAGCCAGUUCUCUUAACUGCUAAGCAGCCUCUCUAGGUCCUUUGAUUGUUUCUUUGAGACUGGGUCUCACUAGGUAGUGCUGGAACUCUCUACGUAGACCAGACUCAGAAUUCCACCUGCCUCUGCCUCUAGAAUACUGAAAUUAAAGGUUUGCACCAUCUCA